UGGAUGGAGCUGCCCUGCGUGUGCUGCAACCCCUGGCGUGCCCCUUGCUGGGGGCCCUGCUCCAUGACUGGAACGGAGGCAACAGAAUGGGAGUUUGAAGGUGCAUGUCCCUCCUCAUCCCUCCACCAGCUCCACAACACGCUUUGAAAUCUGGUGAUGAAAGGUCCCGUCUAGCGUUACUCCAAGUGCGAUCCCUCACCUGGCUUGCACCUGUGCGCUAGGGCUGCGCGACUCACAAAAGGCCAGUCUGCCAGAGUCGGUCGCAGCAUAAUGAAUGCUAAUAAAAGCCAUAACCUUGCACAACA